CCGGUGGCAGCAGUGGGGAAUAUUGCACAAUGGGGGAAACCCUGAUGCAGCGACGCCGCGUGAGUGAAGAAGUAUUUCGGUAUGUAAAGCUCUAUCAGCAGGGAAGAAAAUGACGGUACCUGACUAAGAAGCCCCGGCUAACUACGUGCCAGCAGCCGCGGUAAUACGUAGGGGGCAAGCGUUAUCCGGAUUUACUGGGUGUAAAGGGAGCGUAGACGGCCAGACAAGUCAGAAGUGAAAGCCCAGGGCUCAACCCUGGGACUGCUUUUGAAACUGCCGGGCUGGAGUGCAGGAGAGGUAAGCGGAAUUCCUAGUGUAGCGGUGAAAUGCGUAGAUAUUAGGAGGAACACCAGUGGCGAAGGCGGCUUACUGGACUGUAACUGACGUUGAGGCUCGAAAGCGUGGGGAGCAAACAGGAUUAGAUACCCUAGUAGUC
rnacentral:rRNA from 1 species